AGCUCCAAUAGCGUAUACUAACGUUGUUGCAGUUAAAAAGCUCGUAGUUGGAUUUCUGUGUGGGUGAGGCGGCCGGCCACUCGUGGUUGUAGCUAGUUAUCACCUGUACAUCUUGUCACAAGCCACGCUGGUCUUAAUUGAUUGGCGCUGGGGACUGACUCGUUUACUUUGAGAAAAUUAGAGUGUUCAAAGCAGGCUAUCGCCUUGAAUAUAUUAGCAUGGAAUAAUGAUAUAGGACUUUGGUUCUAUUUUGGUGGUUGUUCGAGAACCGAAGUAAUGAUUGAUAGGGACAGUUGGGGGCGUCAGUAUUCUGAAGCGAGAGGUGAAAUUCUUGGACCUUCGGAAGACUAACAACUGCGAAAGCAUUCGCCUAGGAUGUUCUCA
rnacentral:rRNA from 1 species